UUGUCUUUUGUUUUUUGCUUGCUGACUUAAGGCACUGAUAAUAUGCUGUCACAUAAUACAGUAACAUUCGAGAUGGAACUGGAGGAGCAGGGAACAUAGAGUGAUCGGGAAGAAAAGAGGGAAUCCUGAGCAGAGAAAACUGGGAAAAGAACCAGAGGGAACGUAAAUGGAAUAGAGCCACAGAGUCAUCUCGAUCUAUGAGAAAAAGGCCACGAGAAUCAAAGGGCCCUCACUCAGCCUUGUUAUCCCUGAGCUCCUGAAUCAGUGCCAGAGACCACCUGUGGAGUCCUAAUAAGAUAAUGUCAAUGAUUCAGCCCUUGGAUGUCUCCUCUAUCUACAGUCACUUCCUGGCUGAUCUCAUCCAGCUUCAUUAAAAAGUAAUUGGCCACUGAAGAAAGUAAAGACUGUUCUACACCUAAGAAGCAAGGACUCAAUUACAGCACGUGUUACUGUAUUAUACCAUUUAAAAUAUUCAAAAUAAAUGGAAGGAAUAAAC